AGUUGCUGCUGCAUGAUGGCUGAUGCAUGUUUUGGAAGCUGAAGAGCAAGAGUAUCUCAAUACUGCAUAAAGAGUUGGACUGAGAUUUUUGUGUUCAAUGUACAGCUGGAGGAGGCUCAAACGUAUUGGAACUCACACCUGGGAGAUAAUUUACAAACCCCUCAACUGUGUUCUCUGCAGAUAGCUCCUGUAGCGGCCAGCCAUUGGCAGACAUGUUGGAAGGCAGCCACGCAUGCGGUGGAGUAUAGCUAAAACCUGUAGAUGGGGCCUUGCUUUUUCCUCAAAACGGCAAUAAUGUGGACCUGGCUUUACUCCCCUGCAAAGAGAAAUGACAUUUUCUUCAAGCCCUUAACUUACAAGGUGGCACAGUGGUAUAUGUGGUAAGAAACACUGGACCUCUGGAAGUGUAUUUAGUUCCCUGUUGUGAUGCUGCUGUUUAUCUCAUCUCUCCAAGCAUGUAUUUUUGGAAAUGUACUCAUGAGUUUAGUGCCCAUUUUGUGUGAGGCUGUUGAUACAUGCAAU